rnacentral:rRNA from 1 species
UACGUAGGGUGCGAGCGUUGUCCGGAAUUACUGGGCGUAAAGCGUGCGUAGGUGGUUUGUUAAGUCUGUUGUGAAAGCCCCGGGCUCAACCUGGGAAUGGCAAUGGAUACUGGCAAGCUAGAGUGCGGUAGAGGGUAGUGGAAUUCCCGGUGUAGCGGUGAAAUGCGUAGAGAUCGGGAGGAACACCAGUGGCGAAGGCGGCUACCUGGACCAGCACUGACACUGAGGCACGAAAGCGUGGGGAGCAAACAGG